rnacentral:pre_miRNA from 1 species
UGCUGCUGCUGCUGCCGAUGAUGAUGAUGAUCACCAUCAUCACCAUCAUCAUCAUCAUCGUCAUCAGUG